rnacentral:rRNA from 1 species
AUGUUCAAGCGGUCCGUCACGUUCUUGGAGCGCGACGACUCGGACUUGGCAGCACAGGUGGCCGUGUGGGGCCAUCUGCACGAGUUCGGCGACAUGACAUGGCUGCCACGCCAGGGGAAGGUCAUCUACCGCGAGGAUGACCGUGUCGAUGUCUCGUCGCCCGGCGAUGGCCUCAACGACUACCUCGGCUUCCGCUCCUUCCCGACGCUGGGGCUCAUCAUCGCAAGAGUCGCGGAGGAGCAUGUGGAGAACGACGGUUCCUCCUUCACGGGAUACCCGGUGGUCGGGUACCAGCACCGCAUCCAGGCGUCCGGCUCAUGCAUCGAUGCCAAGGACAACCUGCUCCGCUCAUCAUGCCCAUGGGACCCACGCGUCCGAAGCCUCUUCUUCUACAACACUGGCUUCAGCGUCACGCUCUCCAAAGCCCCAGCGUUGGUCGCCGACAUGCAACGACUCCGCGACCUGAACCCGCGCGCCCUAUGCAGCCUCGACGCGAAGAUGGGCGUGCUCAUCCGCUAUGUUGGGGCCUCCUCCGCCUACCUCGGCAAGACGGAGGACUCGGUCAACUUUGACUUCACCUACUACCGGAGCUACACCCAAGGCAGGCCGCGUGCUCACUCUGAUGUGAUCGACGAGCUCGAACAAAUGGCUUUGCGCAAGUAUGGCGCAGUCCCGCAAUGGGGCAAGAACCGCAACUUCGCCUUCGACGGCGCCAUCGCCAAGUACGCAAAGGCCGGCGAGUUCCUCAAAGUGAAGGAGAGCGAGUGGAGCGACCACGUGCUCGGCAUCGAUGGUAGCCCCAACAUAGUCCAAAAGGGUUGCGCCAUCGAAGGGCUUUGCAUAUGCUCUCACGACUCGCACUGUGCGCCAGAACAAGGCUAUUACUGUCGGCCUGGAAAGGUGUACACGGAGGCAAGGGUAUGCUCCUUCCGACCCACCUCACACCGCGACCACAACGACGAAAUAUGA